AACGAACGCUGGCGGCAUGCCUAACACUUGCAAGUCGAACGGAUGGUUUCGGCCAUCAGUGGCGCACGGGUGAGUAACGCGUGGGAAUCUGCCCAGCAGUGGGGGAUAACCUCUGGAAACGGAGGCUAAUACCGCAUACGCCCCUCGGGGGAAAGGCUUGCUGCUGCUGGAGGAGCCCGCGUCGGAUUAGGUAGUUGGUGGGGUAACGGCCUACCAAGCCUGUGAUCCGUAGCUGGUCUGAGAGGAUGAUCAGCCACACUGGGACUGAGACACGGCCCAGACUCCUACGGGAGGCAGCAGUGGGGAAUAUUGGACAAUGGGGGCAACCCUGAUCCAGCAAUGCCGCGUGAGUGAUGAAGGCCUUCGGGUUGUAAAGCUCUUUCGCCCACGACGAUGAUGACGGUAGUGGGAGAAGAAGCCCCGGCUAACUUCGUGCCAGCCGCCGCCGUAACAC
rnacentral:rRNA from 1 species